rnacentral:rRNA from 1 species
GACGAACGCUUGCGGCGUGCUUAACACAUGCAAGUCGAACGGAAAGGCCCUGCUUUUGUGGGGUGCUCGAGUGGCGAACGGGUGAGUAACACGUGAGUAACCUGCCCUUGACUUUGGGAUAACUUCAGGAAACUGGGGCUAAUACCGGAUAGGGGCUCCUGCUGCAUGGUGGGGGUUGGAAAGUUUCGGCGGUUGGGGAUGGACUCGCGGCUUAUCAGCUUGUUGGUGGGGUAGUGGCUUACCAAGGCUUUGACGGGUAGCCGGCCUGAGAGGGUGACCGGCCACAUUGGGACUGAGAUACGGCCCAGACUCCUACGGGAGGCAGCAGUGGGGAAUAUUGCACAAUGGGCGGAAGCCUGAUGCAGCAACGCCGCGUGCGGGAUGACGGCCUUCGGGUUGUAAACCGCUUUCGCCUGUGACGAAGCGUGAGUGACGGUAAUGGGUAAAGAAGCACCGGCUAACUACGUGCCAGCAGCCGCGGUGAUACGUAGGGUGCGAGCGUUGUCCGGAUUUAUUGGGCGUAAAGGGCUCGUAGGUGGUUGAUCGCGUCGGAAGUGUAAUCUUGGGGCUUAACCCUGAGCGUGCUUUCGAUACGGGUUGACUUGAGGAAGGUAGGGGAGAAUGGAAUUCCUGGUGGAGCGGUGGAAUGCGCAGAUAUCAGGAGGAACACCAGUGGCGAAGGCGGUUCUCUGGGCCUUUCCUGACGCUGAGGAGCGAAAGCGUGGGGAGCGAACAGGCUUAGAUACCCUGGUAGUCCACGCUGUAAACGGUGGGUACUAGGUGUGGGGUCCAUUCCACGGGUUCCGUGCCGUAGCUAACGCUUUAAGUACCCCGCCUGGGGAGUACGGCCGCAAGGCUAAAACUCAAAGGAAUUGACGGGGCCCCGCACAAGCGGCGGAGCAUGCGGAUUAAUUCGAUGCAACGCGUAGAACCUUACCUGGGUUUGACAUGGAUCGGGAGUGCUCAGAGAUGGGUGUGCCUCUUUUGGGGUCGGUUCACAGGUGGUGCAUGGCUGUCGUCAGCUCGUGUCGUGAGAUGUUGGGUUAAGUCCCGCAACGAGCGCAACCCUUGUUCACUGUUGCCAGCAUGUUAUGGUGGGGACUCAGUGGAGACCGCCGGGGUCAACUCGGAGGAAGGUGGGGAUGACGUCAAGUCAUCAUGCCCCUUAUGUCCAGGGCUUCACGCAUGCUACAAUGGCUGGUACAGAGAGUGGCGAGCCUGUGAGGGUGAGCGAAUCUCGGAAAGCCGGUCUCAGUUCGGAUUGGGGUCUGCAACUCGACCUCAUGAAGUCGGAGUCGCUAGUAAUCGCAGAUCAGCAACGCUGCGGUGAAUACGUUCCCGGG